rnacentral:rRNA from 1 species
GGUUCCUGAGCAACGAUCGUCGUCUCAGGGUAAGUCGGGACCUAAGCCGAGGCAAGAAGCAUAGGCGAUGGACAACAGGUUGAAAUUCCUGUACCGGAAGAGUCUGAUUGAGUGAAGGAGUGACGCAGAAGGGCACACAAGCAUGCGAAUGGAAGAGCAUGUCUAAGUGCGUAGCCUGUAUGAUAGGAAAAACCGUCAUACGAGAAGGGUGAGACAUGAAGGGGAGUUAAAGGAGACUUUAAUGAACUUGUGAAUCCCAUGCUGCCAAGAAAAGCUUCUAGCGAGGACUCGUCCGCCCGUACCGUAAACCGACACAGGUAGGCGGGGAGAGAAUCCUAAGGUGCGCGGGAAAACCCUCGUUAAGGAACUCGGCAAAUUGCAUCCGUAACUUCGGAAGAAGGAUGGCCCUUGGUAGGCGAAGAGUCAAGCACUUGGAACCGAGAAGGGUGGCAGAAAAGAGGCCCAAGCAACUGUUUACCAAAAACACAGGUGCCUGCGAAAGCGAAAGCUGAAGUAUAGGUGCUGACGCCUGCCCGGUGCUGGAAGGUUAAGGAGAGAGGUCAGCUAAGGCGAAGCUUUGAACUGAAGCCCCAGUGAACGGCGGCCGUAACUAUAACGGUCCUAAGGUAGCGAAAUUCCUUGUCGGGUAAGUUCCGACCCGCACGAAAGGUGUAACGAUUUGGGCACUGUCUCAACGAGGGACCCGGUGAAAUUGAAAUACCUGUGAAGAUGCAGGUUACCCGCGACUGGACAGAAAGACCCCAUGGAGCUUUACUGCAGCUUGAGAUGGAAUCUCGGAAGUAGAUGCACAGGAUAGGUGGGAGACAAAGAAGUAUGUACUUAGGUAUGUAUGGAGUCGAUGUUGGGAUACCACCCUUCUAGUUCUGGGAUUCUAACGCCAGGAGUAACGACCCUGCGGACAAUCUCAGGUAGGCAGUUUGACUGGGGCGGUCGCCUCCGAAAGAGUAACGGAGGCGCCCAAAGGUUCCCUCAGGUCGGACAGAAACCGACCGACGAGUGCAAAGGCAGAAGGGAGCUUGACUGCGAGACCAACAAGUCGAGCAGAGACGAAAGUCGGGCUUAGUGAUCCGGUGGUACUGUGUGGAAAGGCCAUCGCUCAACGGAUAAAAGCUACCCUGGGGAUAACAGGCUAAUCUCUCCCAAGAGUCCAUAUCGACGGGGAGGUUUGGCACCUCGAUGUCGGCUCAUCACAUCCUGGGGCUGGAGUAGGUCCCAAGGGUUGGGCUGUUCGCCCAUUAAAGUGGUACGCGAGCUGGGUUCAAAACGUCGUGAGACAGUUUGGUUCAUAUCCAUCGCGGGCGUAAGAAGUUUGAGGGGGGCUGCUCCUAGUACGAGAGGACCGGAGUGGACGAAUCAAUGGUGUACCAGUUGUCACGCCAGUGGCAUGGCUGGAAAGCCACAUUCGGAAGGGAUAAACGCUGAAAGCAUCUAAGCGUGAAGCCCACCCCAAGAUGAGACUUCUCAUCAGAAAUGAGUAAGAUCCCUUAUAGACUAUGAGGUAGAUAGGCCGCAAGUGGAAGAGCAGUGAUGUUUGGAGCGAUGCGGUACUAAUAGAUCGAGGUCUUAACU